rnacentral:rRNA from 1 species
CCUUGUACACACCGCCCGUCAAGUCAUGGGAGUUGGGAGUACCCGAAGUCCGCUUAGCUAACGAAAGAGGCGGCGGCCGACGGUAAGCCCGAUGACUGGGACU